GACGAACGCUGGCGGCGUGCUUAACACAUGCAAGUCGAACGGAAAGGCCCUGCUUGCAGGGUACUCGAGUGGCGAACGGGUGAGUAACACGUGGGUGAUCUGCCCUGCACUUCGGGAUAAGCCUGGGAAACUGGGUCUAAUACCGGAUAUGACCUUCCAUGUAGUGUGGGGGGUGGAAAGAUUUAUCGGUGUGGGAUGAGCCCGCGGCCUAUCAGCUUGUUGGUGGGGUAAUGGCCUACCAAGGCGUCGACGGGUAGCCGGCCUGAGAGGGUGGACGGCCACAUUGGGACUGAGAUACGGCCCAGACUCCUACGGGAGGCAGCAGUGGGGAAUAUUGCACAAUGGGCGGAAGCCUGAUGCAGCGACGCCGCGUGGGGGAUGACGGCCUUCGGGUUGUAAACCUCUUUCGACAGGGACGAAGCUUCGGUGACGGUACCUGUAUAAGAAGCACCGGCUAACUACGUG
rnacentral:rRNA from 1 species